rnacentral:rRNA from 1 species
AUGAUUGUGCAAAGACUAGAAAGCAUACAAAUUAUUGGAGAAAUACCAAUGAAACAUUGGGAUAAAAACUCUAUAGUUUGCAAAAUAAAUAUCAUAAAUCCAGAUUAUAUAAUUAAGUCAGGACCAAUAGAAGCUACUCCUAAAGAUAUAGAAGAAUUCAAAAUGCAUAUUGAAGAGUUAUUAAAGUUAAAAGCUAUAAGAGAAAGCAGAAGUCCUUAUCGGCCUGCUGCAUUCAUAGUUAGAAAUCAUGCUGAAGAAGUAAGAGGUAAAUCCAGAAUGGUAAUUAAUUUUAAAAGGCUUAAUGAUAAUAUAGUUGACGAUGCAUACAAUAUACCUAAUAAGCAUGAAUGGAUUAACAGAAUACAAGGAAGUAAAUAUUUCUCUAAAUUCGACUUAAAGGCAGGAUUUUGGCAAGUAAAAAUGGCUGAAGAAUCUAUUCCUUGGACAGCAUUUACUUGUCCACAAGGCCAU